UGGGGAAUAUUGCACAAUGGAGGGAACUCUGAUGCAGCGACGCCGCGUGAGUGAUGAAGGACUUCGUUUCGUAAAACUCUGUUCUAUGGGAAGAAAAGGACUGUACCAUAGGAGAAAGCUCCGGCUAAAUACGUGCCAGCAGCCGCGGUAAUACGUAUGGAGCGAGCGUUGUCCGGAAUUAUUGGGCGUAAAGGGUGCGCAGGCGGCUUUACAAGUUGGAUGUGAAAUAUUGUGGCUCAACCACAAACGUGCAUCCAAAACUGCAAAGCUUGAGUUAAGGAGAGGGAAGUGGAAUUCCGGGUGUAGCGGUGGAAUGCGUAGAUAUCAGGAGGAAUACCGGUGGCGAAGGCGACUUACUGGACUUAAACUGACGCUCAGGCACGAAAGCGUGGGGAGCAAACAGG
rnacentral:rRNA from 1 species